rnacentral:lncRNA from 1 species
CUUACCAGUGGCGUGGCGUGCUUUGCGAUAUAUCGAUUGCUCUGCCAUUUAAACCUGUGAAAAAGGAUCGAUAAACAGGGCAUUUGCAGCGAACACCUUAAUAAUCGAUUCUUUACCACAGCUUCAAGUGGGGGAAUAUCGAUAAUCGAUUAUUUAUGCCUCGCCACUGCUCCUUUACCUGAUGCCCUUGUUAUGUGUGAUCUUAAUUGGUAUCCCUUUUUCUCCAUUCCCCUAACAAAACAGGAAACAAUGAAAACUCCCCUAAUAGUAAUUAUUGAAUUAUACUAUCUAACUUACUACUUGGUGGAUGGAAAAAGGGGUUUUCGUCAAAAAGUCAAACCGGAAGAUGACGUUGAACCUUUGUGUCCGCUCUUCCCCCACGAAUGGCCUCCAGAGGAAAUUGAAAGGAAAUUAAAAGACGACGAUAUCAUACCAGAUGUAAUACCUCGCAGUCCCAAGUAUGUAAUUAAUGUCACGUAUAUCCCCGGCGUCACAGUGUAUUUUGGGAACAAGCUUGAGCCCGACGAAUUGAAAACAAGAUGACGGUUCCAACGUCUUAACGUUGGAGAGCGUUCACCGUAGCACCUCGUCAAUGUGAAUAAGCGGUUUUGCGCGGACGGAAGAGAGCGCUGCAAGACGCUGUUGAACUAAACGUGGAGCGUAACCUAGGAAACAGACAUUAUACAAGAAUCAUAGAGUAAAAUAUAGGGGUCAUGUUGUAAAGGGGUACUUGGUACCCAAACAUUUUUCUAGAAUUACGACGACAAAAAAUUUGAACGAUGCUUGAAAGAGUCAUUAAAUAAAAGUACGUUGCAGAGUUUUAAAUGUAAAAAUAGUAAUUUCUCAAAGAUAAGCCUACUUGCAUUACAUAAAGUGGACAAAAUAUGAGAAAAAAGGUAGAAAUGGUACAUAAAUAAAAUUGAGAAACUAGGUAUUGCUUCCCGCCACGAAAAAUGGCGCCGAUUCCCAUAAAGCAGUGCGGGCUAUUACCAAUGGAUCCAUUAGUAACAUACCCGCUGCAAAACGGGCGGAAAGAGCGUACACUACUAACGUGGUGAACGCUCAAAAGAGCCCGUGAAAAUCGGUUGGCCGGUCGUACCGGGUCAUAAUUACACACUUAUGUUGACGGGUAAGUAGAAUUUCGUCAGAAUUCCAUCAAAAAUGAAAUCGUUUGUAUGAGCACCAAAAUCUUGACUAAGAAAUCAAAAUUAACCUUCGCAGACCAGAACGCAUUAGCAUUUAGAGGUUUGGGGUUACGAAACAAGUUUGUGCAUUUACAUAGCUUGACCUUAUAGUAUACUUCGCAUCUUUUACGUUUGCGUUCACAAUUAUUCUUAACUUUAAGGUAAUAUUUUGCAUCACAAAGAAGUUCAUUUUCAUCCUCACAGAUUAUCGUUGAAAUAAUUUGAUUACCUUUCCUAGAAAAUUGAAUGCAAUGUACUUUUCGAGAACUUUAUUCUUCAUGCAUUACAUGUAUAUUUCGUAGGGGCUGAUGACCCGUCAGUUGCAAAAUAUAUGAAUCGUGAGUUUCUACAAUGGCUGGUGGUUGACAUACCAGGAUCUGAUGUGCUUAAAGGCACCACAAUUGCAAAGUAUGCUCCUGUGAUGAUGCCGCCCGAUACAGGUUAUUUUUUCAAAUUAUACUUUUUAUCCGUAAAUUAAGACUAGAUAUUGGGCAGAGUUCCUCCUCUUAAAGUGCUGUUAUUUUUUA